rnacentral:lncRNA from 1 species
UAUUUUUCCAUUCACUUCAUUUCUUACUGGAAUUUGCUAACUGGAGCUGAGUAGCUUAGUUUGCAUGUGUGAGCAGUGGAGACCCUCCUUUCUUAGGAGGAACAGAUGAAG